rnacentral:tRNA from 1 species
CGGCGGGUGGCAGAGUGGCGAUUGCAAUUGCCUGUAGAGCAAUUCUCUAACGAGUUAACACCGUAGGUUCGAGUCCUACCUCGCCGA